GACGAACGCUGGCGGCGUGCUUAACACAUGCAAGUCGAACGGAAAGGCCCGGCUUUUGUUGGUUGCUCGAUUGGCGAACGGGUGAGUAACACGUGAGUAACCUGCCCCUGACUGUGUGAUAACUUCAGGAAACUGGGGCGAAUACCGGGUAGGAUCUCUUGCUCCACGUGGGGGGUUGGAAAGUGUCGGCGGUUGGGGAUGGACUCGCUGCUUAUCAGCUGGUUGGGGUGGUAGUGGCUUACCAAGGCUUUGACGGGUAGCCGGCCUGGGAGGGUGACCGGCCACAUUGGGACUGAGAGACGGACCAGUCUGCUACGGGCGGCAGCGGUGGAGAAUAUUGCAGAGUAGGCGGGAGUCUGAUGCGAAAACGCCGCGUGCGGGAUGCCGGCCUUCGGGUUGUAAACCGCUUUCGCAUGUGACGAAGAGUGAGUGACGGUAAUUGGUAAAAAAGCCACGGCUAACUACGUG
rnacentral:rRNA from 1 species